GAUGAACGCUAGCGGCAGGCUUAACACAUGCAAGUCGAGGGGUAACAGGAGUAGCUUGCUACUUGCUGACGACCGGCGCACGGGUGCGUAACGCGUAUAGAAUCUGCCUUGUACAGGAGGAUAGCCUUUAGAAAUGAAGAUUAAUACUCCAUAAUAUAUAUGAUUGGCAUCGGUUAUAUAUUAAAGAUUUAUCGGUACAAGAUGACUAUGCGUCCUAUUAGCUAGAUGGUGAGGUAAUGGCUUACCAUGGCGACGAUAGGUAGGGGGUCUGAGAGGAUUAUCCCCCACACUGGUACUGAGACACGGACCAGACUCCUACGGGAGGCAGCAGUGAGGAAUAUUGGUCAAUGGGCGCAAGCCUGAACCAGCCAUGCCGCGUGCAGGAAGACUGCCCUAUGGGUUGUAAACUGCUUUUAUACGGGAAGAAACAGUCGUACGUGUACGGCCUUGACGGUACCGUAAGAAUAAGCACCGGCUAACUCCG
rnacentral:rRNA from 1 species